GUGGGGAAUAUUCCGCAAUGGACGAAAGUCUGACGGAGCAACGCCGCGUGAGUGAUGAAGGUUUUCGGACUGUAAAGCUCUGUUGUUUAGGACGAAAGUGCCUGUUGCAAAUAGUUACAGGUAUUGACGGUACUGAACGAGGAAGCCACGGCUAACUACGUGCCAGCAGCCGCGGUAAUACGUAGGUGGCAAGCGUUGUCCGGAAUUAUUGGGCGUACAGAGCAUGUAGGCGGGAAUCUAAGUCUGUUGUGAAAAUGCGGGGCUCCACCCUGUAUUGCGGUGGAAACUUGGUUUGUUGAGUGCAGGAGAGGAAAGGGGAAUUCCCAGUGUAGCUGUGAAAUGCGUAGAUAUUGGGAGGAACACCAGUGGCGAAGGCGCCUUUCUGGACUGUGUCUGACGCUGAGAUGCGAAAGCCAGGGUAGCGAACGGGAUUAGAUACCCUAGUAGUCC
rnacentral:rRNA from 1 species